GGCAUAUGGACAUGUAGUGACUGUGCAUACACAGGAAGAGAUGACUUGCAGUGUAUUUCURUGGAGUGCACUAUUUCAGAUGUCACUGUGAGUUACGUCAGUUYGUGCUGAAAGAGUGGACUCAAAAUGACUUGCUCUGGGUUGAUCCAUUCCUGUUCUUCGUUUCAAGGGGAUUAAGUUAAAAAGUUUUACUCCAAGACUCAGGACCUACCAAAGUUCCUUUGUUAUUUAUAGGUCUUAGGUCUGUCAAAUCUCCGUCUCAGAGUCAUUGACCAAGACUCUAUUGAGCUACCUAGUAUGUACAAAGACAAAAAAAAAAAAAAAAAAAAAAAA